UAUCUCAUUAAUUAUGAUUGCUAAAUACUCCGUCAUUAUAUAUAAAAAGAAAUCUUAUAUAUAUAUAUAGAAAGAGAGUCGCUUGAAAUAUGUUAAUUACCAGUAACAAAUAAAACCUGGCCCGGUUCGGUCAACUUAAUUAUUCCAAAGUUUAUUUGUCAAUAACAUUUGAUGUAUUAUAAAAUGCGAUCAAGAUUAAAACCUUCAUCAAUAAAUGAUCAUUGUCAUCUUUAGAAACACAGCAGUCCAGGGCAAAGGUGGCAUGCAUCUGGUGGAUAUUGCACUAGAGAAAAAGUCAAAACUACUAUAAAUCUAUUCUUCGAAGGAACUGUUCGUAAACAGUGCACAAAAUAAUGCAACUUUGGAAAGAAACCGGUGAAGUGUGUGUAGACGACAAGUUUGUAUAAUAUCGCUAUUUCACCUAUUUGGCAUGGGGUAACCAAUUUCUUGCUUAAUUUUGGCAUUGCUUGGUAUGCGAAAUAGGCAUAUGUAUGCCGAGCGCGCGAGAAUUCGGCUUGACAUAUGAUAUAAUGGUGUGAAGGAAAAAAAAAAUUCUUUUUAUACAAUCUUAAUUAGAUACC